UAAGCGCUCUAACACUGAGCUAAAUCCCCAGCCCCGGAAAAGGCUCUCCUUAAACAAGUGGCCACCAGGCUGGCAUCUGCCUCUCUGGGGCAUCAUAGUCCCUCCAAACCUCUAUUGGCUAUAAUUCUGUGGACCGUUAACGGCAUAUUGGGGCGCUUUGGCAGGAUGGCCCUCUGAUGUGGUUGCACCAAGCCUACUCUGCCCUUCACUAGAUCAGUUCCACAUUUGAACUGACCUUUUGCCUUGACCUAAAGGCACGGGUGGCAGCCAGGAGGACCGACAAUGUAAAGCCUGGUAAAAUCAUUUUGUCUUUCUCCCUGAGGCAACCACAGUCGGAUUCAAUUAGCUUUCACGAGAUGGUGACUGGGUUAGACAACCAUCUGCCCCAGGACAGGCAACUCUCCUCCUUACCCUUAUUCCCCUUCAUAAUUAAGCCUCAAAGCACCCCGCCUCUUCCCCAGUGGUGGGAGACACCAUUGCUUUCUCCAACUCGAACAAGCUCGGAUAUGGCAUCUUGAUACAACACCCCGAUAAAGAGGAAGCCGCCCAGGUACUGCCUAACUCUGGCUCAGUCCAGCUGGGAGAGAUAAGGCAAUAAUAAAGAAGCUUGAGCUGUGCCAAGACGAGACUGCUUUUUUCUGAGAGCCAAUACGCAGUUCGGGCUGCCGGUGUAGUACCCUUCUCCCAGACUGAAGAGUGCCUGAACCCCUUCUAUCUGACAAUGACCAUGCUCCAGAAGCUUCUACAGCAAAGACCCCAUCCUUGGUACAUUUCUCACACUAGGUCACAUUCGGGGAUCCCUGGUGCCUUGGCUCUCGGUGACUCAUCGAAUCUCAUGGACCUUGUGAUUAUGAUUGCCGAUCUAGAACUCCUGGAGCAGGCCCUGGCGCUGCACCAACAACUUCACCUGUCCCCGCAGAGCCUUUGCAAACUUGUCUCAGAGCUCUCAAUGUCUUCGUAAAAUAUCUAGCUCGUUUCAGUGCCACGUGUGCGCCUCUGAUGCCCUUGAGCCCCCUCGAUCGGGCGGGGGAGUGGAUCCUAGAGGCCUAUUACACAGUACCAUACGGCAGACUGACAUUACUCACUAUCCUCCAUUUGGGAACCUUCACUUUGUGCACGUAAUACUGGAUACCUGCUCUUCUUACGUCUGUGCUCUGACACUUGCCGGAGAAAAAGCCUCCCGUGUGAAGCCAGCCCUCAAGGACAGACCACUGUGGAAAGGAACAAAUCUCAAAUAGCCCUGCCGGUGAAGGUCACGUCAUCUAAGGCUAAGCAAGACCCGCAUUUGGCCUUGGUGCAAGUGAUCUUCCGCAAGAAUUUUCUUUCUUUCGAUAAGGGACCUCGCCGCUCGGAAACACUCCUCUCCCCCUGGUUAGAUAGAGAGAUCCUCUUGCCUCACAAUGGCAAUCACCACCGCCAGCCCUCCUGACACGGGAGCAAGGUCCGUGUUUUUCUCUAGGGAUCCACAACGCAGAUACGGGUGCCCGUGAGGGAUGUGCGAGCAACCACCGAGGCAUGGACGCUGGGGGAGUCUGACUCUUCUCGUUCUGCUCCGGUAUUGCUGAGGAGUUGUGGGCCCUUGUGCCUUUGCCAUCGUUGUUAUUGCCUAUUAACUCAGGUUCCCCUGCAUACCCUGCGCUUUUUACAACUAAUGCCACCCUGGGACUCCCAUUCAUGGACCCAUAGACGCAACUCAGACAAUUACCGGUACUUGGCCUGUUACUACCACCAUUUGCUUCAUGAUAGAUAGCAAGGGGCCCCUGUAUCCUACUUAGGAGCUUCAGGACUGGGGACUUUCAUGCCAAUAAAGCUUCAGGAAAGAUGAUGGAGAUAGAGACGCUUCCCCCACCAUCCGGCCCUAUGCCGACCCUGACUUCUCCCUACCUCAGCGGGGUAAUCGCCGCCUUACCGCCCCUCGCUGUUCCCCUGCAAGCAGAAUGCCCACCAUAGUCAAACUCUCAAUCCUGUGGGAACAUUGUCUAAUUGACCCCCCUCUCUCCCGGCCCAGGACUAUGGGGUACAUACAUAUUGCUAACAUCAACGAUCUCAAAUUGACCCCUAUACCUUAGGACUACAGUGCUUCUUCCUACAGUCCAAGGACCAGCCCCAUCUCCAUAGAACAUCCGCCCAGACUCUAUACGAUACCUUUUUGAGGAACCAGGACCUUUGUGGGGCUCUUGGCUGUAUCAACCUGAGCCCCUUAAGGGGUGGUAGCAUCUUUAAUCAGACUUUUACUGAUCUAGCUGUCGAUGGUAAGAAUUUAAAGAUAGUUACAGCCUCCAGGAUUAAUUGGGCCCCCUCCCCACGUGCGUUCUCCCUCCACACUUCUUUCUUCUCGAAAAUGCUUCUGACAUGCAAGAAGUGCUGAACUGUUCUAACACGCCAUGCCAUCGGAUGACCUGCUGGUCCCACCACACCAAACUGGCCAUCCUCCUACAUAAACCUGCUGUGAGAUAGAUGCCAGUGGCAAAUGCAACUCCUUUCUAUGCUAUCACUCUGAUGUCUAAAACUAACCUGCAACCCCUAAGGUGGGUCAAAUAUGAUUUUGGCAUUACUGCAGCCAUCAUUACUGCCAUCCUGGCGGCUGUAGCAGGGGCAACUACAGCAGCAGUGGCCUUGACAGAAACUGUGAUAACAGAGUUAAUCAACAUCUUUACUGGGCCAUCCACAUUUUGCUACAACAGGCUGUUAUCAGAAGAACUAGAGAUGGUGCAGGAUUUGUCUCUUCUUGCAUGUGACCAUAGCUUUAGGUCCUGCUGCUUGAUUCAAUACCAGGUACCUAAUUCCACCUCAGAGAGGCUGAAGUUGGCCCAUUACAUCAAGGGGACAUGGUCCACCAAGUUCCUCAAUUAUUCCAUACUCCUCAGAGAACAAAUACGUAAGUUAAACUCUACCAGACCCCCAGCUAUGUCCUUUGAAGUGAGUGCUAUCACUAAAGUAUAAGACAACCUUAAAAGGCUCUUAGAUUCCUCUUGGAUGGUCACUUACGCUAUGUUAGGGGUGUUCUGUUGUUAGUAAUCACUCUCUUCAAGUGUCUUAUGCUGCAUAUGUCAUGCCAACACUCCAUCAAUAAGAUCUGCUCCAAGUGCUGCCCUGAACCAUGCCCACCCCCCAAGGAUAUACAGGCCUGAUUCUCGGAGAAACACCUCCCAAUAGACCAACGUACUUCACCAGGGCAUGCUCUCCAGGGAGACUAGCCUUCCAGAGCCAGUAGUCAAUGAUGGGUAAGACCCCAAUAGCCCGGGGCAACCUAAAACAGGCACAGUUCCCUAUGCUGGUUGCCCCUUGAGGUGGGGUCAAUGAGGUCAGUGCACAGAACUCUGGCUUCACUUGUAGAGAGCGGCGCGGCGAAACAAAGAUGGCGCUGACAUCCAGCCUUGUCUGGAUGUCGACAACUUACUGCGCAUGUGCAGGCUUGUCCCAUUGCUAGGGUGGCCAUACGAUAAUGAGAUGUAGGGCGCCCUCCAGUGGUGAACAACGGUACUGCACAUGUGCGGUUUUUGCACCAGGUGUCAGUUGACCGUUAAUAUGCUAAUGGGGGGCGGUACCAUGCUAAUGGGGUGAUUCAUUCUCCGCCAAUCCCUGGAGGACAAGUAGUGGGGUGAUCCAUGCCUCACCAGUCCCUGAGAGAUAAUUAGCAUACUGUUGUGUAUAUAAGUCGAGCGACUUUGCUGCUUGGGGUCCCUGUUCAAGAGAGCUAUAACACAGUAAAGGCUAGUUCGCAGAAGAAUCCUGUUGCCACGCAUCGUUCUUACUAGCGGGACAUUAGGCGCGUGACAAGUGGUGCCGAAACCCGGAAACCAACAUCGCCGGUGCCGAGGGGACCCUUCAGUGUGCUGAAGAGGAUUCAGAACUGCGAAAAGGUAAAUUAAAAGGUAAGCUUCGAGAGGCAUGCCCCUUUUUGGAAGAGAGCAUGUCAGAAACGGAGCAGAGUGAGAAAUUAGGCUUCCGAGAGGCAUGCCCCUUUUUGGAUUUAAGAGAGCAUGUCAGAAACGGAGCAGAGUGAGAAAUUAGGAGCACGCAAAAAGAAAAAGGUUACUAAAACAAAAGUGAAAGAGAUACAAAGGCGGAAGAAAGGCAGCCGGAGGAAAAAAUAGGUAUGCCCCGGAGGACUAAGUACAAGUCAUCCAGAGAGGAUACUUUGUAUCCAUUAAAAGAAUUAGAAGCCUUAGAACUGGCUGGCAGUGACUCUGAGCAAGAGUUGUCAGAGUCGGAGGAGGAGGAAUUAGAGGAAGAGGCAGCCAUAUAUGAGGAAGAAAGAUAUGGGCCUAGGUGGAGAGCCACUGUGAAGAAACCUAAAGUUAUGGAUCUUUUGUGGGCAAGGCUGGUAAUUUUGUUUCUUUUUUUCUUUGUGUGGGAUAGAGAAGCCACAGACGGCAAGCUUAAGCCCGGACCAAAACCUCUUUGGCAAAUGGUCCCUGCCUGCUUAGAGGAUAAACAAUGUGAGGAAGCCGUUAGAGCCGUUAGGACAGGUCAGAGGGUCCUUGCAGAGCAACAAAGUAUGUCAGAGGGAGAAAAGGUCUCCAAAGAAAAAAAGAAAAGAAAAGGAGAUAAAAGGAACAGAGAGAAGGCAGAGAUAAAAAAUGGGGUCAGUGCAGCUUUUGUUGUGGCUCAAGUUGAGGCUAUUGCUAGGUAUGUGAUUAGGCUCUGGAAACCUCACAGAGUCAUAAUGAUCAGAUUUGAUAGAGGUAGACCGCCUGAAAAUUUAUUCAGGAGAAUCAAACAAAAAGAUAAACUUGAGUGUGCCUACUUGGAUUCCUGGUCUCAAGGAGAUUUAGCAAGUGACAAGGUGCUUCUCUUAAAAAAGCAGUUUCAAUCGGCCCUUGGAGCCUUGCACCUGUAGCUAAGAUAUGUGUAGCCACUUCAAUUUUGUUUUCUGAUUGGUUUUAAAUGUAUAAAUAUUCUCUACAUGCCUUGGUUAUGGACUAUUGGCUUUUAAGUUAUUGGAUAUGGUUUAAAAAAUGUAACAUUGAUAACAGAAAGUUGACAUAAAACUGGUAAAUUUGGAUGGAGUCGUUCUAGACAACAUGUGGCAUGAGCCAAUCUAGGGAAACAGGCCUAAAUUGGGAUGCCUUUGCUACAAUUUUUUACUGAACACCCAGUGAUCUUUCCUAAGAGCACUGCCUCAGAGCCUUUGUCUGGAGUGUUAGAUAUUUAUACAGAUGGCUCCAAGACAGGUGUAGGUGCCUAUAUGGUUGAUUCUCAAGAACCAGUAUUAAUUCAAUACAGUCCAGGUACCCCCCAAAUUACAGAAUGUAAAAUUGUAUUGGAAGUUUUUAAAAGAUUUCAUGAUUCUUUUAAUUUAAUUUCUGACUCUGCUUAUGUAGUUAAUGCUGUGCGCUCACUUGAAAUUGCAGGGCCAAUUCUGUCGACUAGUACUGAAUGUCAAAUUCUUUUAGAAUUACAAAAUUUGAUUUGGGCCAGAAAAAAUAAAUUUUUUCAUACAGCAUAUUCGAGCCCAUACUAAUUUGCCUGGUCCCAUGACCAGUAAUAACACCCUUGUGGAUGCUAGUACUCGUAGAGAGUUUAUUUUUCAUGCCACUCCGGUUGAUGUCACUAGAGGAUUUCAUCAAAAGUUUCAUGUACCUGCCUUUACUCUUCAACAAAAAUUUUAAAUCUCUAGAGCUGUAGCUCAUGAUGUGGUGUUAAGUUGCCAGAAUUGUGUUCAAUUUCACCACCCUCCUCAUGUGGGGAUUAACCCUUGUGGUCUGAUCCCACUAAAACUUUGGCAGAUGGAUGUCACACACAUAUCUCAAUUUGAAAAUUUAAAAUAUGCUCAUGUUUCUGUUGAUACCUGUUCCGGUAUUAUACACGCUACUCUGAUGACUGGUGAAAAGGCUCGUAAUGCCAUUAGCCAUUGCUUAGAGGCAUGGGCAGCCUGGGGAAAGCCUGAUAGUCUCAAGACAGACAACAGGCCUGCCUACACUGCUAAGUCUUUUCAGGCAUUUUGCCAGACAAUGCAGGUCAAACAUACUACAGGAUUGCCAUACAAUCCCCAAGGUCAAGGAAUUGUGGAAAGGGUACAUCGUACCUUAAAAGAGCUUAUAAAAAAACAAAAAGAGGGGCUGGGGAUUUAGCUCAGUGGUAGAGCGCUUACCUAGGAAGCGCAAGGCCCUGGGUUCAGUCCCCAGCUCCGAAAAAAAGAACCAAAAAAAAAAAAAAAACAAAACCAAAAACAAAAAGAGGGAAUUGCCAGCAGCCGAACACCAAAAGAACAACUUUCUUUAGCUCUUUUUACUCUAAAUUUCUUAAUUUUGGAUGCGCAUGGCCACUCUGCUGCGGAUCGCCAUGCUGCUACUACACCUAUAACUAAUGCAGAAGUAAAGUGGAAGAAUGUCUUAACUGAUGAAUGGCGUGGCCCAGAUCCCGUGAUUUCGAGAUCUAGGGGAGCUGUUUGUGUUUUUCCGCAGAAUCAAGAAAAUCCAAUCUGGGUACCUGAGCACUUGACUCGAAAAUUACCUUCUGCUCUUCCUGAAGAUGAGACUACAAACCCUACUAGUACUACUGGGAAUGGUAAUGCUGAUGCAGAUUGCUGUCCUCAACAGCACUAGGCUGGACCCCAUCACAAUUGAAGACUUUACCUCAUGGAUUACCAAUGCUUUCUCCUUUUUUAAGGAGUGGGCGGGCAUGUUUGCCUGGGGAGCUAUUGUCCUCCUGGGAUGCGGAGUAGGUCUCUGGCUUAUUGGCCGUUUAAAAAGAGAACAUGCCAGACACAAAGUGGUUGUUUACCAGGCUAUGACCACCAUUAAAAAGGGUGCUUCUCCCAACAUAUGGCUGGCCUCUUUGAAAGAUCAAGAGUUCGCUCUAAAUCAUUUUUGUCACAGUCAUGUGGAGUCAUUGUAUCUAGGGACGGGCAACUUUCCUCGAGCUCGGACCAACCCAAGACACAGGGCCCGGUGGAGAUAGGGUAAUUCUAUGACGGGUAAGGCCGAGUUUGGAUGAGAACGACCUAAGACAGGAGCAAUGACAAGAUUGACGUGACACCCAGAUCUAGACCAGUCAUUUUAUUAAACAAAAAAGGGGGAGAUAUAGAGAGCGGCGCAGCGAAACAAAGAUGGCGCCGACAUCCAGCCUUGUCUGGAUGUCGACAACUUACUGCGCAUGUGCAGGCUUGUCCCAUUGCUAGGGCGGCCAUACGAUAAUGAGAUGUAGGGCGCCCUCCAGUGGUGAACAACGGUACUGCACAUGUGCGGUUUUUGCACCAGGUGUCAGUUGACCGUUAAUAUGCUAAUGGGGGGCGGUACCAUGCUAAUGGGGUGAUUCAUUCUCCGCCAAUCCCUGGAGGACAAGUAGUGGGGUGAUCCAUGCCCCACCAGUCCCUGAGAGAUAAUUAGCAUACUGUUGUGUAUAUAAGUCAAGCGACUUUGCUGCUUGGGGUCCCUGUUCAAGAGAGCUGUAACACAGUAAAGGCUUGUUGGCAGAAGAAUCCUGUUGCCACGCGUCGUUCUUACUGGCGGGACAUUAGGCACGCGACAUUCACUGAGUUGCCAACUUCUAAACUAAAAAGGGUAGAUAUAUAGGGGGACUGAGUGUGUUCUGACUAGCAGCCGUCAAUGGCCCACACACUCGCAGCAGCCUAACUAACCCUGGAACCUACCUGACAACCAGAGAAGAGUAAAGACAACAUUUGAGGGCUAGGGUAACAAAAUACCAGCCUCAGAGUGGAGAGAUGGCUCAGUGGUUAAGAGCAUGGGUUGCUUAUCCAGUGAUUGGACUUGAGUUCAAUCCCCAGCACCCAGAUGGUGGCUCAUUACCAGCUGUAACUGUAGCCCUAGGGGAAAUCCAAUGUCCUCUUGUACAGUAUACAAACAUAAUGCAGGUAAAACACCCCUACCCAUAAAAAAAAUUUAAAAAGAAAGAAAGAACACCCUUUUUUAAUAGGGCAAGAACAGGUUUAAAGAAUGUGCUUGAGUUUUCUCUUCCUGAGUGAGAUACUGUCAGAGGAGAACUGUAGCAGAAACGGAUCCGUGGUAUUUUUCAGAGGAGAAAGAGCCUAAGACAGCCCUCCCUGGGCCACAAACUUCCUGAGCAUCUCUCUUCCUGUAAUUCAGAAGGUGAAGGUGAUGUGCCUCCCAUGGGAUCGCCUCCGGGGAUGUCCCACUGAGAGUCGAGAAUGGGAUGCAGCGCUAUCUUACUUGCAAGCUAAUAGGUUCUAUUGUUCCCGUUUCACAGAUACUGGAAGAAAAUACCAGUCUCCCAGGACAGACAAGAAAUGCAGCUUGUGAAUCACAGCCACAGCAGAAGGCUGGAUACCAGCAUGCCUUGUGCUGCCAGCAUUCCUGAGGGAGACCGGAAGAGCGGUGAUGACUGCACUCCCUAACCAAGCCAACGUUUUUCAUAAGGUGCCGAAAAAAUGGCCUGCUCUUUACUUCACCGGGUACCAGUCUCCAUUGUGCGCCUGUUUCCAUUACAAACUAAACCUUCCAGCAUUAGACAACAAAUGGUUCCCUGCAUGCAAAGCAUAAUACGGAAAUACCUGAGCCCUGUCGGGAAGUCUCUCUCCCAACUGAGUGAAAUGAGACGUUAGUUGAGUAAAGCAAACUAAGGUCACAACCUAGUCUAGGACACUAAUUACUUCAUUCAGGCACUAAUUACUUCAUUCAGUCAGGUUUACUGGGAUCCACAGCGUGGCUAAGAGCAGGCAGAGGGACCUGGUUUAAGACCUUGAAACAGUCACUGCUCAUGCGCGGCUGUGAGGUCAAAGGUUUAUAUGCAGAUGAGAUAGCUCUACCUAAGUGGACCGUGUAUCCCCACAGACGCCUCAGAGAUAGCUGUGAUCUCUCUGAACCUGAGUGUCUUCCAGAUGACGGGAGCAGAAACAAGAGGGAGAUUUGCCCGGCAGGAAUUAAACCCCUAACUGCCUGUUAGUAGUUCUGCCUGAAGUAACACUGGCUAUUUGGACUUCUUACGUGGAAGGAGAGCUCGAUCAUCGCCUCUAAACCGGAUGCUUAAUGGCACUGCAGCACAGCUCUGCCAGUGCUUCAGUAGGAAUUGCGAUCUUAGAACAAAAUGAGGUAAGUGACAGGAAGUGACCAGUCCAUGACUGUAGUGUGUAAAAUUUGGCCCAGUGCCUACGAGUUAGGUUUUCUCUUCGCUAUUUCGCCUGUCACAGCAACAGGAUUUUUUUUAGUAUAUAUGAUCAUCAUUAGGUUUGAGAAUGAUAUUUUAGGAGAGCAGUGAGAGGAAUCAGCAGGAAAGGCAUGCCACCAUGCCUGAUGAUGUAAAUUCCAUCCUUAGAACCCACAGAGUAGAAACGGAAAACCAACUCCCAUAAGCUGUUCUCUGACUUCCGCACCCGCUGGGGUGCGUGCAUACAGCCAAGUUUGAAGGUCGAGGUGUGCUAAGACAUUGGAACACUGUCAGAUGUUCCCAGAUUUUUCCCAUGUGAACCUCUGGAGUUUGGAGAGGCAACGCCUAUGAAUUAACAUCCGUUCUCUGGGUUUUCACACAGUAAUGCCUGCUGAGAGGCAGUAAUGGAGCCAAGCCUCUCGGACGUGGGAUGCAUUCAAUGCCUGAGAGGACGGGCGGCUGAGCAGAAGUUAUGAUAACCAUGCUGACGAAUGUCUUGGGUUAUUUUUGCCUGCGUGUUGCCAUGGUAACGAAGGAAGAGCAAGUAGGCUAUAAAAUCAUUGAUGUUUCCCCGGUAAAGACUUUCUGAAACUUUCUAUUUGUUAUCAUGGAUACCCAGUUUACCUCCUGAACAUUUUCUAAACAUCUGUCUCUUCGUGUUAGGAUUUUAUGAUUCCUUCCUCAAAUUUCAGGGAACAUAUCACCUAUAAAGGGCAAAAUUGUUUUUAUGGUUCCACGGACUGAGUGUACUCAAAAGUUUUAAAAAUAUGUUAUGACACAAAAGAAGGAAAAUGUGGUACAUCCAGAUUAUGAAGUUUUGCUCAGAUUCCAUAGUGGACAAAUUUGUAAUAUUUUAAAUAAAGCCUGAAUAGUCCUGACCCUUCUGGACCAGAAAAAAUAUUAAGUAAAUUUUACAAAAGAGAGAGAGAGAGAGAGAGAGAGAGAGAGAGAGAGAGAGAGAGAGAGAGAGAGAUCACUACCCACACCAAUGAUUCUGCCCAUGUUGUGUCCAUUGUAAACCAGUGUUGAUCCAGUGGCUUCAUCAACUGCACCUUUUUUUUUUAAAUAUCACUAAAUGAUAAUGAUAGCCAAUCAUUUUAUACAUUCAAAAUGUUUAUUAAUAAAGGAAAAACAGAAAAGGCUA